rnacentral:rRNA from 1 species
CCUACGGGAGGCAGCAGUGAGGAAUAUUGGUCAAUGGGCUUACGCCUGAACCAGCCAAGUCGCGUGAAGGAUGACUGCCCUAUGGGUUGUAAACUUCUUUUAUAUGGGAAUAAAACGUUCCACGUGUGGGAUUUUGUAUGUACCAUAUGAAUAAGGAUCGGCUAACUCCGUGCCAGCAGCCGCGGUAAUACGGAGGAUCCGAGCGUUAUCCGGAUUUAUUGGGUUUAAAGGGAGCGUAGAUGGGUUGUUAAGUCAGUUGUGAAAGUUUGCGGCUCAACCGUAAAAUUGCAAUUGAUACUGGCAGUCUUGAGUACAGUUGAGGUAGGCGGAAUUCGUGGUGUAGCGGUGAAAUGCUUAGAUAUCACGAAGAACCCCGAUUGCGAAGGCAGCUUACUAAACUGUGACUGACAUUGAUGCUCGAAAGUGUGGGUAUCAAACAGGAUUAGAUACCCUUGUAGUC